CAGUAGCCGCGGUAAUACGAAGGGGGCUAGCGUUGCUCGGAAUGACUGGGCGUAAAGCGUGCGCAGGCGGUUCGUUAAGACAGAUGUGAAAUCCCCGGGCUUAACCUGGGAACUGCAUUUGUGACUGGCGAGCUAGAGUAUGGCAGAGGGGGGUAGAAUUCCACGUGUAGCAGUGAAAUGCGUAGAUAUGCGGAGGAACACCGAUGGCGAAGGCAAUCCCCUGGACCUGUACUGACGCUCAUGCACGAAAGCGUGGGGAGCAAACAGGAUUAGAUACCCCCGUAGUCCCUGUCUCUUAUAA
rnacentral:rRNA from 1 species